GAUGAAGAACGUAGCGAAAUGCGAUACGUAAUGUGAAUUGCAGAUCUCUCAGUGAACCAUCGAAUUUUUGAACGCACAUAGCGCCCGCCGGUCAUUCCGGCGGGCAUGCCUGUUCGAGCGUCAUUAAGUCCACUUAAGCCCUGCUUAGUGUUGGGAACCUACAGAAGCUACCCUGUAGCUACCCUGUAGUUCCUUAAAGACAGCGGCGGAGUUGUAGUACCCUCUGAGCUUAGUAAUUUUUUCUAGCUUUCGAGAUGCUACUGCUUCUGCCGUUAAACACCCUUCUUCUGAAUGGUUGACCUCGGAUCAGGUAGGAAUACCCGCUGAACUUAAGCAUAUCAUAACGGAGGA
rnacentral:misc_RNA from 1 species